UAUCAUUAUUAAUACUAAAAUGUUUAUUAAUAACAGUAUUGUGAUACAGUCGUAAUAAGAAUAAUGAUGAUAAACACUGUGGGAGGAAACCGGAGGACCUGGAGUAAACCCACACAUGAGGAGAACUUGAAUUCCUCACAGAAAGGUCUGAUCACCAGAACCUGGCUCUUUGUGUGUGGGAGGAAACCGGAGCACCCGGAGUAAACCCAGAGGAAGACAUUUAAAUGUAGGUAGAGAGGAAACGCAACGGCUCGUUGUUUCCCAAGUUACGCUCAGUGGCCCAGGUCUGACCAGUCUUUUUGUGGAAAUAGGUGCGAGGCGGGUUAGCUGCAGAUUGAUCUUACUUUUCUCCUUGCAAGUUAGCUGCACCUUGUUGCGCUCCAAGUAUGGCUUAGUGGCCCGGGUGAGACUAGGGCCUUUUGUGGAAAUAGGUGCGAGGUGAGUUGGUUGCAGAUCGAUCUUACUUUUGUCCUUGCAAGUUAGCUGCAGCUUGUUGUGCUCCAAGUAAGGCUUGGUGGCCCAGGUUUGAGCAGACAUUUUUUUGGCCAAUUACCUUAACCUAACAUUGUUAGACUGUGGGGGGAAACCGGAGCACCCGGCGUAAACCCACACAUGUGGAGAACUUGAAUUCCUCACAGAAAGGUCUGAUCACCAAAACCUGGCUUUUUGUGUGUGGGAGGAAACCGGAGCGCCCGGAGUAAACCCAGAAGAAGACAUUUAAAUGUAGGUAGAGAGGAAACGCAAUGGCUCGUUGUUUUCCAAGUAAGGCUCAGUGGCCCAGGUCUGACCAGUGCCUUUUGUGGAAAUAGGUGCGAGACGAGUUGGUUGCAGAUCGAUCUUACUAUUGUCCUUGCAAGUUAGCUGCAGCUUGUUGCGCUCCAAGUAAGGCUUGGUGGCCUAGGUUUGAGCAGACAUAUUUUUUUUUUUGCCAAUUACCUAAACGUAACAUUGUUAGACUGUGGGAGGAAACCGGAGCACCCGGAGUAAACCCACACAUGGGGAGGACUUGAAUUCCUCACAGAAAGGUCUAAUAACCAGAGCCUGGCUUUUUGUGUGUGGGAGGAAACCGGAGCGCCCGGAGUAAACCCAGAAGAAGACAUUUUUUUUUGCCAAUUACCUUAACCUAACAUUGUUAGAAUGUGGGAGGAAACCGGAGCACCCGGAGUAAACCCACACAUGGGGAGGACUUGAAUUCCUCACAGAAAGGUCUAAUCACCAGAUCCUGGCUUUUUGUGUGUGGGAGGAAACCGGAGCGCCCGGAGUAAACCCAGAAGAAGACAUUUAAAUGUAGGUAGAGAGGAAACGCAAUGGCUCGUUGUUUUCCAAGUAAGGCUCAGUGGCCCAGGUCUGACCAGUGCCUUUUGUGGAAAUAGGUGCGAGACGAGUUGGUUGCAGAUCGAUCUUACUAUUGUCCUUGCAAGUUAGCUGCAGCUUGUUGCGCUCCAAGUAAGGCUUGGUGGCCUAGGUUUGAGCAGACAUAUUUUUUUUUUUGCCAAUUACCUAAACGUAACAUUGUUAGACUGUGGGAGGAAACCGGAGCACCCGGAGUAAACCCACACAUGGGGAGGACUUGAAUUCCUCACAGAAAGGUCUAAUAACCAGAUCCUGGCUUUUUGUGUUUGGGAGGAAACCGGAGCGCCCGGAGUAAACCCAGAAGAAGACAUUUAAAUGUAGGUAGAGAGGAAACGCAACGGCUCGUUGUUUCCCAAGUAAGGCUCAGUGGCCCAGGUCUGACCAGUGCCUUUUGUGGAAAUAGGUGCGAGGCGAGUUGGUUGCAGAUCGAGCUUACUUUUGUCCUUACAAGUUAGCUGCAGCUGGUUGUGCUCCAAGUAAGGCUUGAUGGCCCGGGUUUGAGCAGACAUUUUUUUUUGCCAAUUACCUUAACCUAACAUUGUUAGACUGUGGGGGGAAACCGGAGCACCCGGAGUAAACCCACACAUUGGGAGAAUUUGAAU